rnacentral:rRNA from 1 species
GAUGAACGCUGGCGGCGUGCUUAACACAUGCAAGUCGAACGAACCUUCGGGCUAGUGGCGGACGGGUGAGUAACGCGUGAGAAUCUGCCCUCAGGAGGGGGAUAACGGCUGGAAACGGCCGCUAAUACCCCAUAUGCCGCGAGGUGAAAUGAAUUUCGCCUGAGGAUGAGCUCGCGUCUGAUUAGCUAGUUGGUGGGGUAAAGGCCUACCAAGGCUUCGAUCAGUAGCUGGUCUGAGAGGAUGAUCAGCCACACUGGGACUGAGACACGGCCCAGACUCCUACGGGAGGCAGCAGUGGGGAAUUUUCCGCAAUGGGCGAAAGCCUGACGGAGCAACGCCGCGUGAGGGAUGAAGGCCUCUGGGCUGUAAACCUCUUUUAUCAAGGAAGAAGAUCUGACGGUACUUGAUGAAUAAGCCACGGCUAAUUCCGUG